rnacentral:rRNA from 1 species
UACCAGCUCUCCGAGUGGUAGGGAUGUUUAUUGGGCUUAAAGCGUCCGUAGCCGGCUUAGCAAGUCUCCUGUUAAAUUCAGCGACCUAAUCGUUGAGCCGCGGGAGAUACUACUAGGCUAGGAGGCGGGAGAGGUCAACGGUACUUCCGGGGUAGGGGUGAAAUCCUAUAAUCCCGGGAGGACCACCAGUGGCGAAGGCUGUUGACUAGAACGCGCUCGACGGUGAGGGACGAAAGCUGGGGGAGCGAACCGGAUUAGAUACCCGGGUAGUCCCAGCUGUAAACGAUGCGUGCUAGGUGUUGGGGUGGCUACGUGCCACUUCAGUGCCGCAGGGAAGCCAUUAAGCCCGCCGCCUGGGGAGUACGGCCGCAAGGCUGAAACUUAAAGGAAUUGGCGGGGAGCACACAAGGCGUGAAGCUGCGGUUC